rnacentral:rRNA from 1 species
UGGGGAAUAUUGGACAAUGGGCGAAAGCCUGAUCCAGCCAUGCCGCGUGUGUGAAGAAGGUCUUCGGAUUGUAAAGCACUUUACGUUGGGAGGAAGGGCAGUAAGCGAAUACCUUGCUGUUUUGACGUUACCGACAGAAUAAGCACCGGCUAACUCUGUGCCAGCAGCCGCGGUAAUACAGAGGGUGCAAUCGUUAAUCGGAAUUACUGGGCGUAAAGCGCGCGUAGGUGGUUCGGUAAGUUGAAUGUGAAAGCCCCGGGCUCAACCUGGGGAAUGCAUCCGAAACUGGGGGGGUAGAGGAGGGCAGAGGGUGGUGGAAUUUCCUGUGUAGCGGUGAAAUGCGUAGAUAUAGGAAGGAAAACCAGUGGAGAAGGCGACCACCUGGGCUCAUACUGACACUGAGGUGCGAAAGCGUGGGGAGCAAACAGG